rfam:Lactococcus lactis subsp. cremoris TIFN6 scaffold71.1_1, whole genome shotgun sequence.
GUUGAAAAGCAGAAGCACCCGCUUCUCGCCUUAGAGGUUAUAGCCCUGGGCAAACAAAUGGAAUUAUUCAAAAACGAAUGUUUUCAUGAGCGGGGCGAGAUUGUCGUUCCGCUUUUGUUUUUCUUU